UUAUAUAGCGCACAUAACCACGCAACUAGUGCAUGCUCAAGGCGCUUGUAUUUUCCCCUCGAUCAUUGGAUGUCAAUCUCAACGGCACAUCGUAUUAUCAAUCUCAACUCCAUGGGGGGUAUACUCAUCUUGCAGCCACUAGGUGCAACAAGUGAUA